GACGAACGCUGGCGGCGUGCCUAAUACAUGCAAGUUGAGCGCUGAAGGUUGGUACUUGUACCAACUGGAUGAGCAGCGAACGGGUGAGUAACGCGUGGGGAAUCUGCCUUUGAGCGGGGGACAACAUUUGGAAACGAAUGCUAAUACCGCAUAAAAACUUUAAACACAAGUUUUAAGUUUGAAAGAUGCAGUUGCAUCACUCAAAGAUGAUCCCGCGUUGUAUUAGCUAGUUGGUGAGGUAAAGGCUCACCAAGGCGAUGAUACAUAGCCGACCUGAGAGGGUGAUCGGCCACAUUGGGACUGAGACACGGCCCAAACUCCUACGGGAGGCGGCAGUAGGGAAUCUUCGGCAAUGGACGAAAGUCUGACCGAGCAACGCCGCGUGAGUGAAGAAGGUUUUCGGAUCGUAAAACUCUGUUGGUAGAGAAGAACGUUGGUGAGAGUGGAAAGCUCAUCAAGUGACGGUAACUACCCAGAAAGGGACGGCUAACUACGUG
rnacentral:rRNA from 1 species